AGAGACCGGCGCACGGGUGCGUAACGCGUAUGCAAUCUACCUUUCACAGAGGGAUAGCCCAGAGAAAUUUGGAUUAAUACCUCAUAGUAUAGCAGUUUCGCAUGAAACCACUAUUAAAGUCACAACGGUGAAAGAUGAGCAUGCGUCCCAUUAGCUAGUUGGUAAGGUAACGGCUUACCAAGGCAACGAUGGGUAGGGGUCCUGAGAGGGAGAUCCCCCACACUGGUACUGAGACACGGACCAGACUCCUACGGGAGGCAGCAGUGAGGAAUAUUGGACAAUGGGCGCAAGCCUGAUCCAGCCAUGCCGCGUGCAGGAUGACGGUCCUAUGGAUUGUAAACUGCUUUUGUACAGGAAGAAACACUCCCUCGUGAGGGAGCUUGACGGUACUGUAAGAAUAAGGAUCGGCUAACUCCGUGCCAGCAGCCGCGGUAAUACGGAGGAUCCAAGCGUUAUCCGGAAUCAUUGGGUUUAAAGGGUCCGUAGGCGGUUUAGUAAGUCAGUGGUGAAAGCCCAUCGCUCAACGGUGGAACGGCCAUUGAUACUGCUAAACUUGAAUUAUUAGGAAGUAACUAGAAUAUGUAGUGUAGCGGUGAAAUGCUUAGAGAUUACAUGGAAUACCAAUUGCGAAGGCAGGUUACUACUAAUGGAUUGACGCUGAUGGACGAAAGCGUGGGUAGCGAACAGGAUUAGAUACCCUGGUAGUCCACGCCGUAAACGAUGGAUACUAGCUGUUGGAAGCAAUUUCAGUGGCUA
rnacentral:rRNA from 1 species